GACGAACGCUGGCGGCGUGCUUAACACAUGCAAGUCGAACGGUAAGGCCCUUCGGGGUACACGAGUGGCGAACGGGUGAGUAACACGUGGGUGAUCUGCCCUGCACUUCGGGAUAAGCCUGGGAAACUGGGUCUAAUACCGGAUAGGACCCUGGGAUGCAUGUCCUGGGGUGGAAAGCUUUUGCGGUGUGGGAUGGGCCCGCGGCCUAUCAGCUUGUUGGUGGGGUGAGGGCCUACCAAGGCGACGACGGGUAGCCGGCCUGAGAGGGUGACCGGCCACACUGGGACUGAGAUACAGCCCAGACUCCUACGGGAGGCAGCAGUGGGGAAUAUUGCACAAUGGGCGCAAGCCUGAUGCAGCGACGCCGCGUGAGGGAUGACGGCCUUCGGGUUGUAAACCUCUUUCAGCACCGACGAAGCGCAAGUGACGGUAGGUGCAGAAGAAGGACCGGCCAACUACGUGCCAGCCGCCGCAGUAA
rnacentral:rRNA from 1 species